rfam:Clostridium chromiireducens strain DSM 23318 CLCHR_contig000005, whole genome shotgun sequence.
ACCUAAGGUAGAGGCGCCAGUAAUAAAGAGUACUCAUCAUGAGUUGGCAAACGGUGAUUGAUGAGAAAAGGUAUUAUGGCCGAAGAUUUGAAUUAUGCAAAGAUUUAUUUCUGGUUAUGCAUAGAAUAUAUGUAUAACUGUCACGAAAGUGGAGAGCUACAAGGAUU